GCAAACUUUUUAUUUAAUGGCUGCAGCUCCAGCAUCCAUCUUGGAUUAUGAGGUAAUCUUGAGAAUGGAAGCCAAGCCCUUGGAGGAAGAAGCCCAAUCUACUUUAGCAUGAAUGCCUUCAAGUGGAGUUAAUAUUCUCUAUCAAAUACGAGCUUUGAAUCUUACCAGGAUUCUCACCAUCCAGAAGUCAUACCAGGUAACGAGGAUGAACAUCAGCUCCUUUCUCAUUUCCUAACCAAUGCUGAACUGCAAAUCUCACCCUCCCUCUGAAUAUCCUUUAGAAACAAUGUGAAAAAUAAAUAUCAUCCUGGAACAGUCAUGUUCAAAGGCCAAGGACUGGUUUUGGUGUGAAACUUUGCCCUGAUCCUGAAGACUCAAGAGAAGCACGAAUCUUUAGUGAUAUUAGGGAUCUGGGAAGUCAUCUAGAUCAGUCCCUUCCUUUUAUUGGAAAGAAAACCAAGGCCCGGGCAUUAAAUGUGUCAUUCAAAGUCACAGAGGCUCUUCAGAGAAGAAGCAAGAAUGGCAAUCUCAGAUCAAUGGAUGUGAACACUUUGGGUCACAUCUGAAGAGCAAAUUCUCUUGCUAACCUUUCUCCCUAGUCUGUCACCCUUUUUUCUAGCUUACACUCCUACCGUGUGCCAAGAUAAAUUUAAAUACAUUAAUAUUUAAUUUACACAACCAUUUUACAAGGUAGAGACAGUGGGAGAACAGCCUUGAAGAACAAAAAAAAGAGGUAAAUU
ensembl:lncRNA novel transcript